rnacentral:rRNA from 1 species
UACGUAGGGUGCAAGCGUUGUCCGGAAUUAUUGGGCGUAAAGAGCUCGUAGGCGGUUUGUCGCGUCUGCUGUGAAAACUCAAGGCUUAACCCUGAGCCUGCAGUGGGUACGGGCAGACUAGAGUAUGGUAGGGGAGAUCGGAAUUCCUGGUGUAGCGGUGGAAUGCGCAGGAUAUCAGGAGGAACACCGGUGGCGAAGGCGGAUCUCUGGGCCAUAACUGACGCUGGAGGAGCGAAAGCAUGGGAGCGAA